UACGUAGGGUGCAAGCGUUAAUCGGAAUACUGGGCGUAAAGCGUGCGCAGGCGGUUAUGUAAGACAGAUGUGAAAUGCCCGGGCUCAACCUGGGAACUGCAUUUGUGACUGCAUGGCUAGAGUUUGGCAGAGGGGGGGGUAGAAUUCCACGUGUAGCAGUGAAAUGCGUAGAUAUGUGGAGGAAUACCGAUGGCGAAGGCAGCCCCCUGGGUCAAGACUGACGCUCAUGCACGAAAGCGUGGGGAGCAAACAGG
rnacentral:rRNA from 1 species